rnacentral:rRNA from 1 species
CCUACGGGUGGUUGCAGUGAGGAAUAUUGGGCAAUGGACGAGAGUCUGAACCAGCCAAGUAGCGUGAAGGAUGACUGCCCUCUGGGUUGUAAACUUCUUUUAUAUGGGAGUAAAAUGUUCCACGUGUGGGGUUUUGUAUGUACCAUAUGAAUAAGGAACGGCUCACUCCGUGCCAGCAGCCGCGGUAAUACGGAGGAUCCGAGCGUUAUCCGGAUUUAUUGGGUUGAAAGGGAGCGUAGGUGGAUUGUUAAGUCAGGUGUGAAAGUUUGCGGCUCAACCGUAAAAUUGCAGUUGAAACUGGCAGUCUUGAGUACAGUAGAGGUGGGCGGAAUUCGUGGUGUAGCGGUGAAAUGCUUAGAUAUCACGAAGAACUCCGAUUGCGAAGGCAGUUCACUGGACUGCAACUGACACUGAGGCGCGAAAGUGUGGGUAUCAAACAGGAUUAGAUACCCUGGUAGUC